rnacentral:rRNA from 1 species
UACGUAGGGCGCAAGCGUUGUCCGGAAUUAUUGGGCGUAAAGAGCUCGUAGGUGGCUUGUCACGUCGGGUGUGAAAGCUUGGGGCUUAACUCCAGGUCUGCAUUCGAUACGGGCUGGCUAGAGGUAGGUAGGGGAGAACGGAAUUCCUGGUGUAGCGGUGAAAUGCGCAGAUAUCAGGAGGAACACCGGUGGCGAAGGCGGGACUCUGGGCCGAUACUGACGCUGAGGAGCGAAAGCGUGGGGAGCAAACAGG